UUCUGGGGCCGAGGCCCCAAGUGCAACGCCACCUCCUCCAGCCCCAGCCAGCAUGGCUGGGUAGGCCUCUCCGGGACAGGAGGCGGCGAGGAGACAGGAGGCCUCCCUGGGCCUGGGGUGCAGCCACGUGGGGCUGAGACCCUAAGGAUCCAGCAGGGCAGUAGAUGAGGAACAACAUGAAUUUGUUUUCUAAAAAAUGUAUUUAUUUUUGGGGGUUUAGUUUGUCAUGCCCUCCAUUUUUCUUGAAUGUCCUACAUUUUGGUCUUUGGUCAGUGAAGGGCCUUCCAGGCCAGCACUGGUUGCCAAGUAAACAUGCGGCCAGCAGCAGCAGGUGGCAGCAGUGCCACACCAAUACUAGGCAUUUGUCUAUCUUGAAGAGAGUGAGAGAGGGAGAUGAGAUUUGUGAAUAUAGAGACAUGCAGUUUAAUCCUGUGCAUUUUACCCUAGAGGUACAUGCACCUUUGCUCUUAAGAUUUAAGUAGAGGUGGGAAUCAUGUGGCUCUCCAGAUACUGUUGGGCUAUAAACUCCAGAGGUCUUGCCAGCGCAGCCAAGGCUAAAGAAUGCUGAAGGUUGUACACAACAACCUCUGGAGGGCUGCAUAAUUCCCAGCCUGUUCUAAACAAAAUGCUGUAUCCUGCAUUGGCCAUGCCACCCAAGCAUCAUGUAAAGUAGUUUUCUAAGUGUAAGAAAUAAUAAGUUCUGUUAAUUUAAUUUCCUUUUCCCUUUUUGUUCCCUUUUCCUUUGUGUCUAUGACACCUGGAAUGAAUAAUUUCUUUGCCAACAAGAUGCCACAUGCCAAUAGGCCUGGCCUCAGUUGGUGGUGGGGACAGUCGUCUUCAAGCACACAUGCAUAUACACUCACUAGCGCACACACAGAGACCCUUCCCUGUUUGCGCACAUUCUUCAUUGUUCUUUUCCUCCUUCAUCCUUACACAUUCACUGACUUCUCCAGGUGCACUUGUAUUCACCAUAUGAAUUGUGCGUUCUUUCAACAGAUGGUUGGCAGGCUGUGUAGAAUGUAAUUGCCAUGGCAAGAUGGCACAAGGAUACCUGCUCCAGGCACUCACCUCCCAUACUACACAUUUGUUUAUUUCCAAACUGCCUAACAGCAGUCGGGUGUGGAAGCUCUACGUUUUUAUGGCAAAUGGAUUUUCCCUCCUUCAGACCCAUGUUUGAAAGGCAUUGCCAGGUUGUUAAACCUUAUUUGCAUUAAUGCUUAACCGAAGACAAGAAUGCUUAUGGUUAUUAACUAUUAUAGGAUGUAAGGCUUCUCCUUGGACUCACAGAAUUCUGUAGCAUUACAGAGUCUACAGUAAAUGGAGAAUUUUUCUUACAAAUACUGGCUCGGAGGUAUUAGAAUCUUACCCGUCCCUGGGAGCUACUUAUACCUGAGACCAACGUUUGAAAGCAGUACGUCAGGAAGGAAGAGCCAGUGUGGAGUAGUGGCUAGAGCAUUGGACUAUGACUCUGACGACCAGGAUCUGAAUCUCCACUCUGCUCACAGAAAUACACUGGGUGGCCUUGGACAAGUCACACUCUCUCAGCCUCAGAAGGCAAAUACAACCCCCCUCUAAACAAAUCUUGUCAAGAAAACCCCAUGAUAGGGUUGCCAUACAUCAGAAAUGACUUGAAGGCACACAGCAACAACAUCAGGAAGGACUUACAGUUUCAUCUACCCAAGUUCCAAAAGGAGAUGAAAUAAAAUACAGCCAUAUUUGUCUGUCUCCAAAACCAACAUUUUUAAACAAAACAAAACAAAACCAACAACACAAAUCUGUCAUCUACACCCAGUUGCUUUGCCAUGCAAAUCUGGACGUAGUGAGCCUGUUAAGUUGAAUGAGGUUUCCAGAUUAGUUUAUAUACUGGACAAUAUAUACAACUGCAGCCUAUAUAGCCAUGUAUAGAAAGCUGAAAGAUAAUAACAUGGAUAAUUCUGACUUUUGUAUUUAAUGAUAUAUCUUUGGACUUGAGGAUCUUCUUUAGUUCCUUCCCAGCUGUCUUUUGUAGUCUUUUUUUUUUAACAGCCAUCAAGUCAACUUUGGCUUAUGGUGACCCUAUGAAUGAGAGACCUCCAAGUCACCCUGGGCCUAAGCAGACAGGCAGGAUUGCAUGGGCCAAGCACAUGCUGUCUUGCCCCUGGUUCUGACCUGGGUCAGUCCUGCCCAAUGCCAUGACAUGGAAUCACUGCCGCCACAUGCCUCAUACCUGCCUCUGCUGUCAUGUAUUCUCAGAGGUCGCUUGUUGCAGCCUGUAAGGGUGGAAAUUGGGUGUCUGGCUAUACCUGUGUGGCCAGGUGCCAACAUCAGAGGCCGUGACAAAGGGUCUUCUGAAAAGACGUGACUGUGGAGGUUGGUGUGGGGUGCAUGGGGCCAUGCAGUGUGCUAGUUGUCGCUGUAAGACGCUGUAAAGGAAAUUCCACAGCAAACAGCAGGUCUAUAUGUCCUGAGUUAAGGCCCCUUUGGGCUGGGAUCGGUCUGGAACCUCCAGAUCUGGCUGAUGAUGGCCUGGGGCUAUAGUGCGCUCGUCUGUACAGACCUUAUAUGGACCCCCUGUUAUCAACAGACCUACUCAGCUCUUGCAGACUCAGAACUGUGGCUUCCUUGAUUGAGUUUAUCAACUUGUAACAGCGUCUUCUUCUUUUCCCAGUGCCUUCUCCCUUGCCAAGUAAUACCAUUUUUUAAAAUGAAUCAUGUUCUCCCAUAUGUCCAAAGUACAACAGUCUCACUUUAGCCACCUUGGCUUCUGGAAAGAGUUUAGACUUGAUUUGUUCAAGGUCCCGUUGGUUUGUCUUUUUGUCAGUUCAGAUAUCCACAGAACUCUCCUCUGGCUCCACAUUUCAAAUGAGUUGAUCCUCUUCCUAUUAGUUUUCCUCGCUACACAGCUUUCACAAUCACACACAUAAAGUGGAAAUAUAAUCCUGUCUUUUAGAAUUCAAUGAUAUAUCUUUAAACUUAAGGUUCUUGUCUAGUUCCUUCAUAGCUACCCUUCCAAGACCUAGUCCUCUUCCAAUUUCUUGACUGCAGGCUCCAUUUUUGUUGUUGUUGUUGUUGUGGUCUCCUGUUUCUCUUCAUUGACUUAAAGCAGUUCUCUUUGUUCCUGAACAUGUCUUUUUG